rnacentral:RNase_P_RNA from 1 species
UUAGGUAGUCAAGGCUAUCGCUUCAUUUUGUUGAGGUUUGGCGGGGUUUACCCCAAAAGGCCUUGGCGAAGCGGGGAGGAAAGUCCAGGCACCACAAAGCAGUAUUCUUUGACGGCGUCGCAAGGCGUCACAUCAAAGCGAGCGCAAGCUUAGGGAAAGUGGCACAGAAAAUAUACUUCCCGCCUCAUCGGCGGGUAAAGAUGAAAAGGCGAGGUAAGAGCUCACCGCCUCGAUGGCGACAUCGGGGGCAGGCCAAACCCAAUACGGUGCAAGGCAAGUGGAUUCGCUCAUCAUCAAAGGUCUGCUUUGGCCGAUGACCACGAAUCUUGCCGCUUCCCGACGAUAAAUGUCGGGAUCCCGACCGCUCCGACGACAAGUCGGAGUUCCGACUCGAACGUCGGAAUAGCGUCGGGAAGAUAAAUGAUAGUCAUCCGCCGCUUGGCGGAACAGAACCUGGCUUACUGACUGCCUAAGGUU